GAAGCCUUCUCACCCUGCCUGGCCCUGACCAGGGACGUCACCCCUAAGUCUCCCCACGAGUGCUCAUGGAGCCUCUGCUUGAAGACCUCCGGGGAGGAGGAGCGGCCCCUUCCACUCUGGAAGAGGCCUCCCUGUUGGGAAGUCCUUUGGCCCACCAAGCCGAAAUCUUCCCCCUUGCCACUCCUGGCUCUGCCUUCCGGGCCCACAAAGAACGAGGCUAAGUCUCCUCCUCCUCCUCCUCCUCCUCUUCUUCCGCUGCUUCUUCCUCUUCUUUCUCUUCCUCUUCUUCCUCUUCUUCUGCUGCUUCUUCCUCUUUCUCUUCUUCCUCUUCUUCUUCCUCUUCUUCUUCUUCUUCCUCUUCUUCUGCUGCUUCUUCCUCUUCUUCUUCCUCUUCUUCUGCUGCUUCUUCCUCUUCUUCUUCCUCUUCUUCCUCUUCCUCUUCCUCUUCCUCCCCCUCCUCCUCCUCCACGUGGUCCAUANUGUGUGUAUCUGUGUGUGCGUGUGUCUGUGAGUCUGUGUGUGUGUCCGUGUUGUGUCUGUGUGUGCAUGUGUAUACAUGCAUGUCUGCCCAUGUGUGUCCGUGUGUCUGUCUGUGUAUGUCCAUGUGUGAGUCUGUGUGUCCAUGUGUGUGUAUGUCUGUGCAUGUGUGCGUGUCUGGGUGUAUGCGUGUGUGUCUGUCCGUGUGUGCGUGUGUGCGUGUGUGCGUGUGUGUGCGUGUAUCCUCUUUUCUCUGACGUGUCCCGUGGGUGUGAAGGCGCGUGACUGGGAGCCCCGAGUCAUCCGAGAGGAGGACGCAGUCUGUGGCUACCGUUUGAGCUUGCCUUUCCCAUUCCUUCCCGCAGUCCGUUGUAAAUAGAAUUGCGGAGCUGGGCAGCCACGAGCCCCCUCCCACUCCCGACUCCGCCUCUCCGCACUCCAGGCAGCAUGCGUGAGGGGGUGCCACGAGCACUCAGUGGCCCUCCCUGCCUCCUCACGGGCCCUCUGGACCGGGGAAGAGCUGAGGGACUCGUAGCCAGGCAGGGAGACCUUAGCUCUUCCCUUCGUCUUCCAGCCUCCAGGCUGACGGGGACCCUCUUCGAGAGGGGCUGUGAGUGGGGCUCUCCAGGCUCCCUGGCGGGAGUGGGGUGCAGUAGUGAGAGGGGAAGCGGGCAGGAUGAGAGCCGGGGGCUGGGCCAGACCCCCCCCUGAUGCCAAGAUGGGAGGUGCAGGGCUCUCCAGUCUGCCCACACGCAGCUGCCCCGUGGCCCUUCCUUGGACCCUGGGGGUACAGAACUGCUGUCCACGGCCCUGCUCAUGAGCCUCCCCACUUCCUGUAAGGCCAAGGCACGGCCCUGGGUCAGCCGCCUUUCAUGAUGUCAGGCCGCCACCAGCAGCUGAGCCUAUGGCAGACACGGGGGCCUGGGCAGCCUCCCUCUUGCUCCCCGGAGGACGGGCUCCCCUGGCCCGGCUCUCGGUCCCCUCGGCCACUACUGACAGGAAUGACCCAAGACCCUGGGAUGGACGCAGAAGCAGAGCUGGUGCCCAGCCCUGUGGACCCUCUCCAGUGACAGAGCUGCCUUUCAGGGGGCCCAUUCAGAGAACAGAACAACUGAGGCCACGGCGACCCCCUCUCAGGCCUCCCGAGUGCCCGGGUGAGGAGCUCCGGCUGAGAAUUCAGCAGACAAAACUCCGGGUGUCCGGCCAGGUCCUCCAGCGAAGGCUGCUGGUGCCAGUGUGGUGGCCACGAUUCUGUGGCUCUGUUUAAGGCACGCAUGGCUUAUUG
ensembl:lncRNA